ACGCUGGCGGCGUGGAUUAGGCAUGCAAGUCGAACGGUAGGAUACCUUCGGGUAUCUGAGAGUGGCGAACGGGUGAGUAACACGUAGGUGAUCUACCCUCAAGAUUGGGACAACCCAGGGAAACUUGGGCUAAUACCGGAUGAAAGCAGCAGUGAUGUUGUUUGAAAGGUGGCGUAAGCUGCCGUUUGGGGAUGAGCCUGCGCUCUAUUAGUUAGUUGGCGGGGUAAAGGCCCACCAAGGCGAUGAUAGAUAGGCGGCCUUAACGGGUGGUCGCCCACACUGGGAUUGAGAUACGGCCCAGACUCCUACGGGAGGCAGCAGUCGAGAAUAGUCUACAAUGGCCGAAAGGCUGAUAGUGCGACGCCGCGUGAACGAAGAAGCCCUUCGGGGUGUAAAGUUCUUUUAUAUGUGAGCAGUGCUUUCUAUGUGAACAGCAUGGGGAGAGAGAUAUUAGCAUAUGAAUAAGCAACGGCUAACUCCGUG
rnacentral:rRNA from 1 species